UACGAGAGGCGCAAACGUUAUUCGGAAUUACUGGGCUUAAAGAGUUCGUAGGCGGCGCAGAAAGUAGGGUGUGAAAGCCCUCGGCUUAACCGAGGAAUUGCGCUCUAAACUACUGUGCUUGAGGGACCUAGAGGUGAGCGGAACUGAUGGUGGAGCGGUGAAAUGCGUUGAUAUCAUCAGGAACACCGGAGGCGAGGGCGGCUCACUGGGGGUCUUCUGACGCUGAGGAACGAAAGCCAGGGGAGCGAACGGG
rnacentral:rRNA from 1 species